rnacentral:rRNA from 1 species
AUUGAACGCUGGCGGCGUGCCUAACACAUGCAAGUCGAUCGGUAACGCGGGGGCAACCCUGGCGACGAGAGGCGGACGGGUGAGCAAUGCUUGGGAAUCUGCCCAUCAGCGGGGGACAACCCGGGGAAACCCGGGCUAAUACCGCAUACGCUCUACGGAGGAAAGCCGGGGACCGCAAGGCCUGGCACUGAUGGAUGAGCCCAAGUCGGAUUAGCUAGUUGGCGGGGUAACGGCCCACCAAGGCGACGAUCCGUAGCUGGUCUGAGAGGACGAUCAGCCACACCGGAACUGAGACACGGUCCGGACUCCUACGGGAGGCAGCAGUGGGGAAUAUUGGACAAUGGGGGAAACCCUGAUGCAGCAACGCCGCGUGAGUGAAGAAGGCCCUUGGGUUGUAAAGCUCUUUAGCGUGGGAAGAGGGUUGAUACGGUAAAUAAUCGUGUCAGCUGACGGUACCACGAGAAUAAGCACCGGCUAAUUUCGUGCCAGCCGCCGCCGUAAUAC